UGACUUCGCUACUAAUAAAGGAGGUGUAC
rnacentral:piRNA from 1 species